ACGUGCAAGUCGUGAAGAGUGCACGAAAGCGAUAGACUUGAUUUGCACGUGCUAACCUCACGUCUCUGAUGAGCACGUGGUUCAGUGAUCAGUUAACGAGCAACAAUGGAGGAAGCAGCACCGGAUUAGCGUUGGCGACACUUUCAACAGAACACAGCUGUUUAUUUGAUGAUAAGAUGUCGCAGCGACCCGAAGGAAUACGGCCCUCGUUAACUUGUGUGUAUAUAUGAAUAAAUAAAUAAAAAAUAG